rnacentral:tRNA from 1 species
GGGGAUAUAGCUCAGUUGGUAGUGUGCUUGCCUUGCAUGCAAAGACCUGGGUUCAAUUCCCAGCAUCACAA